GACGAACGCUGGCGGCGUGCUUAACACAUGCAAGUCGAACGAAGUGGCGAACGGGUGAGUAACGCGUAAUCAACCUGCCCUUCAGCGGGGGACAACAGUUGGAAACGACUGCUAAUACCGCAUACUGAAGGAGGGGAUUGCGUCUGAUUAGCUAGUUGGAGGGGUAACGCCCCACCAAGGCGAUGAUCAGUAGCCGGUGUGAGAAGGUGAACGGCCACAAUGGGACUGAGACACGGCCCAGACUCCCUCGGGAGGCAGCAAGGGGGAAUCUUUCGCAAUGGACGAAAGGCUGACGGAGCAAAGCCGCGUGAGGGAUGACGGGCUUCGGGUUGUAAAGCUCUGUUAAUCGGGACGCGGUACCGGAAUAGAAAGCCACGGCUAACUACGUGCCAGCAGCCGCGGUAAUAC
rnacentral:rRNA from 1 species